AGAGUCAAAGACAAGUAAUUAUCAAAGCAUUAUAAGCCUUUAAAAAAAGGGGGCUACAUUCCACAAAAGUCAUGUCAAUGCUAUCCACAACAAAUUGAUGAACCCAAUUUAUAUUGCAAAAAAUCAAAUGUCACUGUUGUCAUUUUAUAUCAUAUAGGGCAACCACUUCAACCUCCUUUUCAAAAUCCACUGACAUUCCUAAAUCUGGAGUUUAAUUAGCAUUUUAUCAGAAGUCGUUAAGAAACAGAAGAGAAGAAGAAGAGGGGAAAAUGGAAGACAGCAAAAUGACAUGCGUAGACAUUCUAUUGGCAAUCAUCUUGCCUCCCCUUGUUGCUUACCGCAAGUUCGGUUGCAAGGUUGAAUUCUUCAUCUGUAUUUUGCUGACUCUCCUUGGGUGGAUACCUGGUAUUCUCUAUGCCUUUUGGGCCCUCAACUCCUCACCAAAUGGUCUUCCUUUCCUAUGGUGGGUGUAUAAAGGCCCCAUUUAGACAUAAUACCCCUUCAAGUUUCAUGCUUAUACCUAUCGGCUCAUUGUGAAGCAGUCCAGAUAGAGAAAGAAUAAAGUGCCUAUGCUCUUCAAGAAAUUGCCCAUAGAGAGGAGAUUACUUCAAGACAGAACUUCUGCUUGUUCUUGUGUAUAUAAACUAGUGUCUAGAAUUCUUGUUACAUAUAUCACUUCUCUAUCCUUUUUUUACUUUAUUAAGGUUACUGUGAACAACUUGUGUAGGAAUGGAAAUGUCAUAUUGUAGUUUAAUGUUUGGAAGGUAAACUACGGCCAAGAGGUCACAACUUAAACUUAGUUGAAUUUUCCGUCUUCUCGUUAUUCACCCUAUAAGAAGCUCUGUUCCAAUA